rnacentral:rRNA from 1 species
GUAGCUGGGCGAUGCCUGAUGCAGCGACGCCGCGUGAGGGAUGACGGCCUUCGGGUUGUAAACCUCUUUCAGCAGGGACGAAGCGCAAGUGACGGUACCUGCAGAAGAAGCACCGGCUAACUACGUGCCAGCAGCCGCGGUAAUACGUAGGGUGCAAGCGUUGUCCGGAAUUACUGGGCGUAAAGAGUUCGUAGGCGGUUUGUCGCGUCGUUUGUGAAAACCAGCAGCUCAACUGCUGGCUUGCAGGCGAUACGGGCAGACUUGAGUACUGCAGGGGAGACUGGAAUUCCUGGUGUAGCGGUGAAAUGCGCAGAUAUCAGGAGGAACACCGGUGGCGAAGGCGGGUCUCUGGGCAGUAACUGACGCUGAGGAACGAAAGCGUGGGUAGCGAACAGGAUUAGAUACCCUGUGUAGUCCAAAUUGG